UACGAAGGGGGCUAGCGUUGCUCGGAAUCACUGGGCGUAAAGGGCGCGUAGGCGGAUUUGUAAGUCGGGGGUGAAAUCCCGGGGCUCAACCUCGGAACUGCCUUCGAUACUGCAAAUCUCGAGUCCGGAAGAGGUGAGUGGAAUUCCUAGUGUAGAGGUGAAAUUCGUAGAUAUUAGGAAGAACACCAGUGGCGAAGGCGGCUCACUGGUCCGGUACUGACGCUGAGGCGCGAAAGCGUGGGGAGCAAACAGG
rnacentral:rRNA from 1 species